GAUGGGUGUAUCUCUAGUGCAUG
rnacentral:miRNA from 12 species